rnacentral:rRNA from 1 species
UACAGAGACUGCAAGCGUUAUUCGGAUUCACUGGGCGUAAAGGGUGCGCAGGCGGCCAAGUGUGUGAGGCGCGAAAGCCCGAUGCUCAACAUCGGAAUUGCACCUCAAACUACAUGGCUAGAGCAUUGGAGAGGGUAGCGGAAUUCACGGUGUAGCAGUGAAAUGCGUAGAUAUCGUGAGGAACACCAGAGGCGAAGGCGGCUACCUGGACAAUUGCUGACGCUCAGGCACGAAAGCGUGGGGAGCAAAAGGG